GUUGAACGCUGGCGGCAGGCCUAACACAUGCAAGUCGAACGGUAACAGGAAGAAGCUUGCUUCUUUGCUGACGAGUGGCGGACGGGUGAGUAAUAUCUGGGAAACUGCCUGAUGGAGGGGGAUAACUACUGGAAACGGUAGCUAAUACCGCAUAAUGUCGCAAGACCAAAGAGGGGGACCUUCGGGCCUCUUGCCAUCGGAUGUGCCCAGAUGGGAUUAGCUAGUAGGUGGGGUAACGGCUCACCUAGGCGACGAUCCCUAGCUGGUCUGAGAGGAUGACCAGCCACACUGGAACUGAGACACGGUCCAGACUCCUACGGGAGGCAGCAGUGGGGAAUAUUGCACAAUGGGCGCAAGCCUGAUGCAGCUAUGCCGCGUGUAUGAAGAAGGCCUUCGGGUUGUAAAGUACUUUCAGCGGGGAGGAAGGGAGUAAAGUUAAUACCUUUGCUCAUUGACGUUACCCGCAGAAGAAGCACCGGCUAACUCCGUG
rnacentral:rRNA from 1 species